rnacentral:lncRNA from 1 species
GAAAGUAAUUACCAUGACGUAAAAUAUGUGCCUAUUACAAAUCUAAUUAACUGUACAAAGAUACACUAAUUAAUUAUACAAAGAUAUAGAUAUAUGAGAAACAGAACUCACAAACAAUGAUCAAGUGAGAUGGCUAAGAACAAACUAUCUAGAAAAAACAUGUGCAACAACCCGAAGAGACUUUUAACCCACUUUCUCACAUCAAGUAAAUCUACCAUUUACAAGUGAAGAAAGACACGAACUGAACCUCAUGUCCGCAAUGUAGGAACCAUUUACAGUACCAAGCUAGUGAUGACAAAUCUUUUAACCAUCUACCACAUGCAAUAGAAAAGUGAAAUAUAAUUUGCCAGCUUCUUCUUCAAAGAAGAAUAUCAAUCAUGUGGUCACCGUUGGUGUAUGUCACAACUCUGCUCCUC